rnacentral:rRNA from 1 species
GCAUUGCGGCAGCUACACAUGCAGUCGAGCGCCCCGCAAGGGGAGCGGCAGACGGGUGAGUAACGCGUGGGAAUCUACCCUUUUCUACGGAAUAACGCAGGGAAACUUGUGCUAAUACCGUAUGAGCCCUUCGGGGGAAAGAUUUAUCGGGAAAGGAUGAGCCCGCGUUGGAUUAGCUAGUUGGUGGGGUAAAGGCCUACCAAGGCGACGAUCCAUAGCUGGUCUGAGAGGAUGAUCAGCCACAUUGGGACUGAGACACGGCCCAAACUCCUACGGGAGGCAGCAGUGGGGAAUAUUGGACAAUGGGCGCAAGCCUGAUCCAGCCAUGCCGCGUGAGUGAUGAAGGCCCUAGGGUUGUAAAGCUCUUUCACCGGUGAAGAUAAUGACGGUAACCGGAGAAGAACCCCCGGCUAACUUCGUGCCAGCAGCCGCGGUAAUACGAAGGGGGCUAGCGUUGUUCGGAAUUACUGGGCGUAAAGCGCACGUAAGCGGAUUGUUAAGUGAGGGGUGAAAUCCCAUGGCUCAUCCCGGGAACUGCUUUUCAUACUGGUUAUCU